GUUUGGAAGUAAAAAGUCGUAACAAGGUCUCCGUUGGUGAACCAGCGGAGGGAUCAUUA
rnacentral:rRNA from 1 species